GACGAACGCUGGCGGCGUGCUUAACACAUGCAAGUCGAACGAAGUGGCGAACGGGUGAGUAACGCGUAAUCAACCUGCCCUUCAGAGGGGGACAACAGUUGAAAACGACUGCUAAUACCGCAUACUUAAGGAGGGGAUUGCGUCUGAUUAGCUAGUUGGAGGGGUAACGGCCCACCAAGUCGAUGAUCAGUAGCCGGUCUGAGAGGAUGAACGGCCACAUUGGGACUGAUAAAGGGCCCAGAAGUCUAAGGGAGGCAGAAGUGGGGAAUCGUCCGCAAUGGACGAAAGUCUGACGGAGCAACGCAGCGUGAGUGAUGACGGCCUUCGGGUUGUAAAGCUCUGUUAAUCGGGACGCGGUACCGGAAUAGAAAGCCACGGCUAACUACGUGCCAGCCGCCGCGGUAAUAC
rnacentral:rRNA from 1 species